rnacentral:rRNA from 1 species
UGAGCAAUCUGCCCUUCACAUCGGAAUAACCAUUGGAAACGAUGGCUAAUACCGAAUAUGACUUCGGAUCGCAUGAUCUGAAGUGGAAAGCUCCGGCGGUGAAGGAUGAGCUCGCGGCCUAUCAGCUUGUUGGUGAGGUAAUAGCUCACCAAGGCGAUGGACGGGUAGCCCGGCCUGAGAGGGUGACCGGCCACACGUGGGACUGAGACACCGGCA